rnacentral:tRNA from 1 species
CGUGGCGCAAUUGGUUAGCGCGUUCGACUGUUAAUCGAGAGGUUGUGAGUUCGAUUCUCACCG